GAUCCAUUAGCUCAGCCGGCAGAGCAUCUGCCUUUUAAGCAGAGGGUCCCGCGUUCGAAUCGCGGAUGGAUCACCA
rnacentral:tRNA from 1 species